rnacentral:lncRNA from 1 species
CUAUGGAUGGUGAAGAUUUUCCGUCUUCUGUGAAUCCAGAUGUAGUCAAAAAAUAUUUCGCAUAAACUGACCCGCUGGACAAAGAAAGAAAGUCCAGGCAAAAAAGGGCAUCCCGGCGAACCAAGAGAAAAAGUAAAGAAAAAGGUUCGGGUAAAAGUUAGGGAUAAAGAAUAAAAAUAAUAUGUACACCAGGUAAGUCGAAAACCUGCAAAGGCGGCUUAGGCAAAAAUGGGUAUCCAGGUGGAUUGAAAACCUGAAAAGGCGGUCCAGGCAAAAGAGGGAUUAAAGCGAAGACUAUAGUCUGAGUUAUCUGUACUUCAUCGUAUUUCAGUGUCUACCAUCUUGAAGGAUAUGAUCGGUCCAAUCACUCUUCUCAGAAAGCAAAGAAUUUGGGGGAAAGUGAAGAUCUAUGAGUCAUAACAGAAUUGGGAAAUAGUGGAAUGCCGUGUUCACAUUGCCAAUAGGAUAGUUUAUUUUCUCUUUUGGCGCAAUUACCUCUUCCUAGGAAUUGCUUCCUGAUGUAUUUGCCUUUAUAGGCCAUUUUUAAAAGCCGUUAUUCAGUCAAAUUGCUCUCUUGUUUUUUUAUUCUACUGUUUUGUUUGCAAAAAACGUUCGAAUUUUUGAUAAACAUUGCAUCUAAAAAGUAUGAAGGCUAGACAAUGACGUGCGGAAAGAUAAAACAUCUGAAAAUCAUUUUGAAUGUUGAGUACACUUGAGUAUAUUUUGUCCAUACGAUCCCCUGAGGCAUGUAUGUCUUGCCGUUUUGCAGGUUACUAUCUUUGAUUGAUGGCUAAAGCAGAUGAGCCAAAGUUUGUUCGAAGGAAGACCCUGUUGUUUCAACAUUGUCCAGGCGUGUAAGAAGUUGGGUCGUCUAAGUCAAGUUCAGAUUUUGUUUCCCAGCAUGGUCAAGAGGUUGGUGUUUUCCCAACAAUUGACUCCCCAGUUGAGUUGGUUUCUCUACCGUUCCGAGAAUGUCAGAUUAGUAAGUAUCCUCAGCAGAAUUAUUAUAUAUCCCCAGUGGAGUUGACAGCGCCAGACUGUAUCUUCCCAGCAGAAGCGACUGCUCCUCAGAGUCCGAUGCCAGAUCGAUGAUCUCAACACCAGAUCCAUGGUCUCUCUCCUUGAAGCAGAAUCUCGGUACCGUAUCGGUGUUUGCUUCCCCUGCUAAGUCGUCUCUCUCGCAGAUUAUGGUUGCCAGAACCACUAUCGCUUUUUGCAACAACAAGCUUCCAGUGCCAUUCUCUCCCCAGUCAGGGUCUCGGUAUUGUGUUAUUGCCUGAACACCACGUGGCCGAUCAUUUCCCCACAUGGUUCAUUGUGUUGUGUAUCUCCAACAGCAUUUCCUGGGUCAAGAAGAGUGUAAUCAUUUCCCCGACAAGAGUUCUUGCCUUGGCUUGGCAUUCUCCCCAGCAGAGUUCCUUGCCUCGGCUUGGCGUUAUUUCUAACCUAGCAUUUCGCAUCCCUGCAUGUAGAAUCAUAUUGCAUUGCAUCCUCUCAGUAUGGAGCAUUACGCCAUAGAAAACUCAAACAUAUGCAUACAUGCAUUAAAACCAGAUUGGAUCUUAUCCCCAGCAGAGACGGAUCAUUUUCCAACAUCGGUAUAGCACAUUUGCAGCAGUUGCCCUUGGCAACAUUCGAAAUCAAUAAUCCCAGCGAGAUUUAUUUUCUCACCAGUCCGUGAAAGGAAAGCUUGAUUCUCUUCCGAGUUAGUCCCCGACAAGUGUCUGCCUUAUUUUGACAUAUGUAGAUGUCAUCCUUGCGAUACCGGUAAGUGUUGCGUUGAUCCCUGUAAAUGUCUAUGCUUUUCUUUGAUGUCGGUAACAUCAUCUUUCGAUGUCGGUAAACGUCGAAUUCCAAUCGUUGGCAAUCAGUAAAUGGCAUGUAUCUCAAGGUGUCUACAAAAAAAUCGUUCUAUCAACACCCGUGUGUGUCCUUUCCUUUCUUUGGUGUCAGUAAACAUCAUUGUUCGAUAUCGGUAAACAUCAGCCACUUGUUAACCAUCGGCAAAUGGUUUUGUCGUUUAAGAUUCCCCAGCAGAUUCGCUAUCCGUAAAUAUCGAAUACUCCGGGUUCGCCAUCGCUAAACGGUUUCGUUUCAUAAGCGUAUUCUUUCUUUGGUAUCGGUAAACAUCAUUGUUCGAUGUCGGUAAGCAUCGAGUUCCUCCCAGUCAUCGGUAAAUGUCUGGUCUUGUUUCACUUGUAAAUACUUUUGUUCGAUGUCGGUAAACAUCGAGUUCCUCCCAGUCAUCGGUAAAUGUCUGGUCUUGUUUCACUUAUAAACAUCCUUGUUCGAUGUCGGUAAACAUCGAGUUCCUUCCCACUCAUCGGUAAAUGUCUGGUCUGGUUUCACUUGCUCCUCCCCAGUGAAGCCGCCAUCGGUAAAUGACCUCGCUUUCUUUGAUAUUGAUAAAUAUCAAAUUUUGUUUUGAAGCCGCCAUCGGUAAAUGACCUCGCUUUCUUUGAUAUCGGUAAAGAUCAAAUCGGUUUUGAAGCAGCCACCGGUAAAUGGCCUUGCUUUCUUUGACAUCAGUAAAUGUCUAAUUUGUUUUGAAGCCGCCACCGGUAAAUGGCCUUGCUUUCUUUGACAUCAGUAAAUGUCUAAUUUGUUUUGAAGCCGCCAUCGGUAAAUGGCCUCGCUUUCCUUGCUUCGUCACCUACAGAGUGCAGGUUCACAGUUGAUUGAAUAGGGGCAGCUGUAGCACCUCAAAUUUGCCCCCCCUCAUUCAUGCAUUCAUUUUUAGGUCAUUUAACAUUUCAUAUUGCAUUGCAUCAUGUCAAUCAGAAUCAGAUCCUAGAAGCUUGAACAUCAUCCAAGACACUUUGUGGGUUCUAUCUGGGUGAUCAGUCAACACAAGGGGAUGGCUUGAGAUACUUCCAACAUGUUCAAAUGGGGUCUAUUCAUCAUUCAAAAUGCCAAUCUUGAAGGAGCAAAAAGCAGAGCCUGAGCUAUCAUGCUCGCUAGGCGAGCAGCAUGGUUCACUAGGCGAACUACACUGUCAUGCUCGCUAGGCAAGCAGAUCCUUCGCUAGGCGAAGAGCACGCGUUUCAGAAUGUAACAUAAUUUUUUUGGAUUUAGGCCUCUCUCAUUUGAGCCCACAAGUCCACAAAAAUCAGGUUAUAAAUUCAGAGUUUCAGUGAAACAAAAGGUAUUCUAUUCCUAUUACCCUGGCAGAAGAGAGAAGCUACAGAAUUCAGGGCAACCUCCGGACAGCUCUGAAAAGUUCACUCUGACUCACACACUUCUUUGCCUCCAUCUCCCACAAACCCUAACAUUGCUUUAUAAACCCAGCCGUGCCAUUCGAGUUUAAUCGAUCUCUCCAAUCAGGUUUACCCUUAUUCCCAUUACCUUUAUACUUCCAAUUUGAAUGCUCUGAAUGUAUGACGUAUGAUGGAUGUUUUUGCCCACGGGUUUAGAUAUGUAUGAAUGUAUAAACCAUGCCUUGAAUGCUUAACCGUUUAAUUUCUGAAGUGUGUGCCAUAGGGUUUGAGGUUUCCGAAACCACACUGUUAUCCAUGAAGAAUCCAAAACCCGCAGGCGUUCGCUAGCACCAUCGCUAGGUGAGCAUGUAGCGAAGCUUCGCCAAGCCUUCGCUAGGCGAAGCAGUAGCGAGCAUGACAGUAACUGAUUUUUUUUGUUCGUUCUAAUCUGACUUUUAUGUUUGUAAUGCCAUUGUUUUCUCCUGACCCCAUCUUGUUACUUUAACCUUUUUUUGUUGAGUUUUUGUGAGGGCUCACAUGACUCUUGCAGGGAUAGUUUGUUUAGUGUUCCACUUUAUUUGUGGAAUACCAUUUGGGAGAUUCUAUUCCGAUUACCUGUACUGACUUAUUGCCUUGUUGGCACGUUUACUUUAUGCAUGUUUGUUUUGCAGGGCGUGAUCGUAUCCCUAUAGGUAGCGCGGUUCCUUCGUCUAGGACUGCCCUUUUUGCCUUUUUGCAUCCCUAAAACCCAAAGCAACUCAUUGAUUUUUCUUCUCCUAAGAACACGUUUACUCCUUCUACUAAAGGCGAGUAAGUCUCCAAAGGUCGAGCAUCCAGUAGAUUGCGUAGUAACGUCGUUCGUCCCAAAACCACCCCGUAGUUAGCCGAACUACGUUUUGCUCUGAUUCUCAUUCCAGAUGAGAUACGUAGGCAUAAGACGCGAUGUCUUACCGAGCACACUUCCCCUUAACCCAUAGAUGGCCAAACUACGAAGACUCUGAUUCUCAUAUUCAGAUGAGAUACGUAUGCAGUGGAUGCGACAUCCGUGCGAGUCAUUUUCCUUUGACCCCUCUUUUAGUAAAUAGUACAUUAGAUAAACCCGCACCCUUUAGACAAGAACUACAAAAGUGGAUCCCGUAGAGUACUACGAAUGCGUAGGGGUGCUAAUACCUUCCCUUCGCAUAAUCGGCUCAUGAACCCAAGAUUUGGUUACGAGACCUUGUCUUUUCCUUUCCUUUUUCCAGGUUUACUUCGAGCAUUUCCUUUCCCUCAUUUGGGAUAAAUAACGCAUGGUAGCGACUCUUCUGUCAUUUUCUUUUCGCCGGUUGUUUUUUCGCAUAUUAUGAUUUUUCAGGUUGCGACAUCGGGAAGUCAAAUUCUUUCCUAAACCACAAGUCCAAUCCCUAUUGGCAACUACCAAAAAACCAAAGUCCACUUUGUUGGCAUUAUCACCAAUUCAAAUCCAAACCAUAUUGGUACCCAAAAGAUCUCACCUUCAAAAAAUGGGGACCAAUAAAAAAAACUAAUCAGCAGCUUGCAUUCCCAAAUGCAUUGCAUACAACAUACAUGCAUAACUUUCCUGCCGAGGUAGGAAGUUCCAUAUCAAAAAGCUCUCUCACCGAGACGAAAAUAUUGCAUCAGAUUAACAUGCAUACAAAGUCAAGCAUCUCCCAUCAACCCUUUGACCGUGACCCUUUUCCAUCAACUCUUUGAUGACGACAAUCCUUUCUAUCAACUCUUUGAUGAUGACAAUCCUUCCAUCAACUCUUUGAUGAUGACAAUCCUUCUCAUUCAACUCUUUGAUGACGACAAUCCAUUCUCAUCAACUCUUUUAUGACAGCAAUCCUUCCAUCAACUCUUUGAUGAUGACAAUCCUUUCAUUAACUCUUUGAUGAUGACAAUCCUUCCAUCAACUCUUUGAUGAUGACAAUCCUUCCAUCAACUCUUUUAUGAUGACAAUCCUUAUCCAUCAACUCUUUGAUGACGACAAUCCAUUCUCAUCAACUCUUUGAUGACAACAAUCCUCCCAUAAACUCUUUGAUGAUGACAAUCCUUCUCCAUCAACUCUUUGAUGAUGACAAUCCUUCUCCAUCAAAUCUUUGAUGACGACAAUCCAUUAUCAUCAACUCUUUGAUGACAACAAUCCUCCCAUCAACUCUUUGAUAAUGACAAUCCUUCUCCAUCAACUCUUUGAUGACGACAAUCCAUUCUCAUUAACUCUUUGAUGACGACAAUCCAUUCCCAUCAACUCUUUGAUGACGAAAAUACUUCCAUCAGCCCUUUGAUGACGAAAAUCCUUCCAUCAACUCUUUCAUGACGACAAUCCUUUCUCAUCAACUCUUUGAUGAUGCUAAUACAUUUCUCAUCAACUCCUUGAUGACGACCAUCCUUUCCCAUCAACUCUUUGAUGACGACAAUCCUUUCAUCAACCCUUUGAUAACGCUGUCAACCCUUUGACGAUGAUAAUUGUUAUCCUAUAAACUCUUUGAUGACGGCCUUCCUUUUUAGUCAACUCUUUGACGAGGACAAUUGUUAUUUCAUAAACCUCUAAAGUCAGAUCCCCACAAAAAUCCUUAUCGAAAGCCAAACCACACCUGGUGUACCCAAAUGCACCCAGACCAUUGCAUAAACUGCAUCCUCAUUUUGCAUUAACAAUCAUGCAUUACAUCGCAUCAGAAAAGGCGUGGCAUAUUCCAUUGAGGUGGAGCAUUACGCCAUGCAAGAUAAACCUGCAUAACUGCAUAAAAGUCUUUCUCGAAAGCAUAAAAAAGGAAAAGAAAAAUCAUUAGUUGAUACGUUCUGCCUCCCCAAUGAGAACAUCAUUAAGAAUCUGUGGAUUGGUAUUCCUUGUAGGUGUUCCCAAAAUAUUUCUCCUUUGUAUUGCCUUUUGCAAGUACCCUUUUGAGUCUUUCGUCAGUCACUUACCUUUGUAAGUCCUUUCGGCCUCGUGCCAAUCCUCCUUGCCUUUUGCUUGGAGAAGAUGAUUGAGAUAACUUACCUUUCAUGAGUUUAUUUCGUUGCUUUAUGCAUGAAAUCACGUCUCCCCCUCGAUGCCUUUCGCACAAGUAGGGUACCUUUGUCAGAUCUUUGCUUCCCGCUUGUUUAAACGCUUGAUGUAGGUUUGGUGAGUCCCGGGGUUUGGGUAGCCAUUGUUUGAGAACUUCAUCCCCGUCAUUGUGCCUGAGGGACAACAUGAGGUUUUCAUACCUAUUCGCAAAGUUCCCCACCUGUCAGAGUGUGCCAAAGCCCAGAUUCAUCUGGAAGAUCCCCUUAAGUUUAGGUUUUACCUAGCAUGUCUUGUCCCACUCUUUUUUUGCCUCGUGCAAAUAUUUGUGACCUUUCGUCCUUUACUUACCUUUCGUAAGUAUUCCCUUCCGUUUGCAUGGGAGGUAUUCCGCUUCUAGCUUACCUUUCGUGGGUCCCCUUUAUGCCUUUAGCAUAAAGUUUGUUACCCCCAACUGCUUACCUUUUGUAAGUCUCCCCAGCCUUUUGCUCGAACCUUUCUAUUCUUGAACCUGCUUACCUUUUGUAAGUGACCAUUGCCUUUCAUCUGGAAAUCUUCUCCUGCAAAGAAGUCGUUACUAUCUUUUGUAUGAGAAAGACCUUUCAUUUUUCUUCUUAACCCUCUGUUAAGAAGUUUCUCACUACCUUUCGUAUGAGAAAUCCCUCCCAGUUUUCUUCUUAACCCUCCGUUAAGAAAUUUCUCAUUACCUUUCGUAUGAGAAAUCAUUUCACCUUUCUUCUUAACCUUUUGUUUGGAAGACCCUUUCUCUUGUGCAAAGGAGUCGUUGCUAACCCUUUUUAAGGAGUUCUCAUCACCUUUUGUGAGAGAAAUCUGUUUAUCCUUGUUUUCUUAACUAAAUUUGAAGAUUCUGUUUCUCUUGCUAAGGAGUCGUUGCUGCCGGUUGCAAGAGAAGGUCGCUUCUCAGUUGAGUUACUUACCUUUAGCAAGAUGCCUUUUGCAAGGGAUCUCAUUCCAAUUCUUUCUACUCGGGUAUUUGCCUUUCGCAGACACCUCAUUUACCUUCGCGGAAUCCUGCGGGAACUCGAUUACCAAUCUCAAGCCAAAAAUCGUUAGUGGAGGCAGAACAAAGAAUGAAAAAAUAGAGAAAGACACAACAAAAGAGAUCAACAUACAUGACAUAUAGCAUAUAGCAUGCAUGACUUCAUGGAGCAUCUCACGGAAAAGCUUUCUGUGAACACUUUGACCUACAUCUCAUUCAUUUCAUUCAUUCCCUGCGGGCAAAUUUCUUGGCUAUUUUUAGUAUUUAAUCCUCUCCUACCAUGAAUGUUUGAAAGCAGCUGCUAUUCAUACCUUCAGGUCCGAAAAGAUUAAAUAUGGACAUAUGUCAUACCCCAAAAUUUGCCCUCAUUUUCGCUUUUUCGUCUGACUAUGACUUGAUACCCAUUCUAACCUCAUUCAUACUCAUUCAUGUGCAUUCAUUCAUUCAUUCAUCUGCUGACAGGCGUCACGGAUUCGGGGUUUGUGGUUGAUAAAAUCGGAGUUGGAUUGAAGUUUAUGGCAUUGCACGUCAUAGGGAUUGAAUCCUGAAUCAUGACUUUGAUAGUCAGAGAUCUUGUGCAUGACCUGUUGUUUGGUGGACAUUCACCUGGUUUGAUUCAUGGCAUUGGCAUGAGUCGUUGGUUCUGGAUAUUGUGAUCCAUAUUCGUUUGUCCAUGAGAAAGUACGCAUUUUUGCAACUGUUGACUUUUAGGUCAACCAGUUGACCAAAGUCAACCAUCAAUCUCCGAAUCUUUAAUCAUGUAACUCGUAAUCGUCCUGUCAUUUUCGAAUUAAUUAUAGAAGUUUUAAGUGAAUUUUUAAGGAUUAAAUUUUAAUUUGAAGCUUGGUCCUUGAGAUUCAAAUUGACUUUUGUGAAUUAGUUUUAUUUCAUAACCAUUUCAUCAUUUUCUUUAGCCGAUUAAAUUUUAGAAAAUAUUGUUUUUAAGUACAAAUUAAUCGUGACGUUUCUUUUAUUAUUAGAAUUUCUUGAUUUUUAUUAAUGGGCCAAAUCUAUUUUUUAAACCCACAUUUAAACCAAAUUAACCAAGCUCAAAUAUUCAAAUCCAAUUUCAUUUUAAUAUCCAUUUGACCAUUUUUUUAACAACUAUCCAUUUAAUGUCCAUAAUUCAAUAUCCAAUUCCUAUAUCCAUAUCCAAUUAAAUCCAAUUCCUAUAUCCAUAUCCAAUUAAAUCCAAUUCAAAACAAAUAUUCAAAUCCAUUUUAAAUCCAUUUUUAAGCCACUUGGCAAUUAACCAAAUCCAUUACAUUAGUAACCAUCAUCCAAAUAUCAUCCAAAUAUCCACUGUACAUUUAUUAGCAUGCAUUAAGAAAAAUAAAAGUUGCAGCCAGAAGCUGUUGUAGCUCAUUCACAAGCCAGCAACCUAAAACGGCUAAAAGUUAAGCAACCGCCAAAAUUAGCGCCAGCUGUACACAAAACAAUUGUGCAUAAAUCCAAAACAAAAUCCUGCACAAUUUAACCAACCUCGCAACACCAAUAACAACAAAGUUAACUUCUAACCAACUCAAAAUACAAACCAAUUUAAAACCAAAAUCCUCUUGGCCUCGUUUGAAUUUCACCAACUGAAUUUGAAUCACUAUAACUAAUCCUAACAGAAUUUCAUCUUGAAUUCCUAACAGAAUUUUGCUAACAGAAUAAAAACCUUAUAAAUACCCUGCAAGUCUCAGGUUCAGGGCUCCAUUUUUGUUCCAGUUUUUCAUUUCCAUUUCCUCACAAUAUGAUCUGGUAUCCUAACUAUCUGGAGUUUUCACCCUCCAUCACCUUCAACCGUUUCAUUCACAAAACUCCUUCACCAUCUCUUCUUCACGCCGCCGAACCACCACGCUUCAACUUGCACUGCUUCAAUCACUUCAACCUCCAAGACGAACCACAAGCGGACGACAACGCACAACAGAAACUCACCCGAAUUCGGUUGCAAAAAUCCCAAUCUUCCAUUCCAUCGCAACUCUACCGAUCGCACCAUAACUCAACCGCUUCAACCACCGCGAUUCCCUCCAACCACGACCAUACGCGACCGUUAACAGAGUCGACAAACUCACCACAAUCAUCUACAUAAUAACAACGUGAUCCACAGAAGAUUGAAGGAUAUAUUUAGGACAAUUAGAAAUUAAUUUUAGAAUAUCUUAAUUAGGGUUAGAAAUAUUAUUAGAAAUUAAUUUUAGGAUAUAUUAGGAAUUUUAGGAAUAUUAAAUUUAACUUAGAAUUUAGUUGUUCUAAUUAGGAUUUUCAUAAAAUAGAAAUUUAAUCCAAAUAUUAGGAAUUUUAGGAAUAUUAAAUUUAACUUAGAAUUUAGUUGUUCUAAUUAGGAUUUUCAUAAAAUAGAAAUUUAAUCCAAUAGUAACCAUAAUUGUGAAUUGACGAUUAUACCCUUAGGGAUAAAAAUAGGCUAAUCUUGUAUGCUCCCCUAGUUGUAGGAAUUAUAGAAUAUUCUAAUUGGUCGAUUAACAUAGAUUGUCGCAUAUUCGUUGCUAGCUAUUAUUUCUUGUGUGGUUAAUUUUGAUUCUAAUGCAUGUUUAGAUAGAGCAUAAAUUUUAGAAUUAACUUUCACUCAAAUGAUUUUUACUUUCGCACUCCCUUGUACUUUACUUGUACCCCCCUCCUCUUUCUGAUGUACGCAUUUACUUGCUUUCUUUUAUUGCUUGUUAGCUACUCCUUAGGCAUUAGGAAUGUUCACCAUUUCGCAAUCAAUAAUCAAACCCUUGAUUCAACGUCAAGCGGUCUUUUUCAAAUCAAAUUCAAUAAACAAACCCUUGAUCCAACGUCAAGCAGUUUUUUUUCCAAAUCAAACUCAAAAAACAUAAUAAAUGGUGAUUAGGAUCGUGUGUCAUGAGCCUUAAGCGAUAAAGAAGGGAUGGGACUGGAGCUUUCCUACACUCAUUCUGAAUGCUUCGAACACAAGAUGUUUGGCUUGACCGUUUGAGGUAUUCACCUUUAUCCAUAGUCUUUAGUGCAAUCCGAAAUCAAUAACUCAUUUCUCAAAACAUAAAAACAACUCAACACAUUCAAACCUUUUGUUUGAGCCUUAGGGAGACCGUUUGAGGUAUUCACCUUUAUCCAUAGUCUUUAGUGCAAUCCGAAAUCAAUAACUCAUUUCUCAAAACAUAAAAACAACUCAACACAUUCAAACCUUUUGUUUGAGCCUUAGGGCGACACCAUUGAAAAUCCUUCUUCAAGGUAAAUAAAAUCAACAAAACAACCAAACAAUUUCAAAACCACGAACUACGAAGGUUCUAAUUUUUCACUUCAACAAGUGGGCAUACGUAGGCACGAGGAUCCAUUCCUUGGCGAGCACACUAAUUUAAAAUCUACCUUCACUCCGCAAACCUUUGGCAAGCAAACAUUCGAUAAACAAUACACACAUAAUCGCAAACAUCCUAGAUGGUUCCCAUGGAGUACCAUGGAUGUGAGGGGUGCUAAUACCUUCCCCUUGCAUAACCGACUUCCGAACCUCUUCGUGGUUGCGAUGACCAUAUUUUGGGGUUUUCUCAAUAUUUUCCCAUUCCUUUGGAAUAAAUAAAAGCCGAUGGCGACUCUGUACUUUUCGUGUAGCGACACUAGGGAGCCCUUUGUAUGUGUGUAUGUGUUUUUGGUAUAAAUGAUGUUUGAGAAGAAAUAGAGUGUGGGGAUGAGAAAAGAAUUCAUUAAUUAUAUUUUUGUGUUUGACAAGACCUUCGGACUUGUGCCUACGUACCAACAUAAAAUGAGGGAUCAAAACCUCGGAAUUUGUGGUAACAUUUUCAAAACGAGUGAAUUGCUUUUAACAAAAGUUUAAUAUAGAAGGGCACAAAGGGACAAAAUUUUAAAUGAAGUUGUUAGUUCUUUUUGUCUUUUGAAAUUUUAAGUCAAUAUGAUUAGAUUUAUUUACAAGUUUGAUUUAAGAAAGAAUUUGAAAAUUCAAUGGCAUAAGGCCAAAGUUUCUAAAUUGAAAUAGGUCUAAGUUUGAAAUCACAAGCAAAGAAAGUUUUUGAAAAGGGGUCGAGAUUUUAAAAUGUAAGAAGUGGGGGAAGAUGAAGAGGCUAUCCUAAGCGUAAAAUUAAAAUUAAGAGUUGAAAAUAUAUGACCAAUGGGAUGCAAUCCAACAGACAAGAAUGUCAUAUAGAAAACCCAAUUUCCCUUUGGACUUUGAAUUAAGAAAUAAUCAAUCAAGAAAUUAGCAAUACCCAAAUAUCAUGAAGGUCAAUGCAUCAAAUAAGGAUAGUCACAUCUAAGCAAGUAAAUCCCAUAGCUAGUAGUCUUCUUUGUCUUCUCACGUAUCAGAUGAAGAACCAUCACACACACAAUCAAAAUAAUAGUUAGCACCAAGACAAGGUAGCAGAUGAGUUCAAGUAAAUCCCAAGACUUGCAUCAAAUGAAGGCUCGGUUCAUAAUAACUUGGUCUCAGAAUGUUGGCAUUGGCCAAGUCCUUUUUGCAUAGGGAAUGUUGCCUAGUUCUAAGUCCAAAAGUUCAGAUCAAGCUCAACAGUCCACCAAACAUUUUUUUAGGGUUUUUGUUGUUUAUUAAGUAUUUUAAGGUCCUAUGACCACUAACAAAAUCAAAAUACACAAACAAAUAUAUACAAUUACAAGAUAUGGCUCAAAUGAGCAAAGUGAAAAUGGCAUAAACAUAAACAAGUUUAUUGAAAUGUAAAAGGCAAUGAAUGAUAAAUGACUAAAAAUUAAAUUACAUAAAGUAAAUGACUUGAAAAGUAAAGCAAUAUUAAUAAAAGUUAGUCAAAUGUUAGUCAAGUGUUAGUGGUGUUUUGCUUUUCAAUUGAUUAAGUCAUUCUUUGGAGAACACUCAACCAUCCAUUCACAAGCAUGAAUCCUUGAACCAAGACAUUUUCCAUAGGAAGGAAAAUAGGCCAAGCUUCCACAUAAUACCAUGAAGGAUGAGAGACUUACAAUAUCACUUACUAUAAUGUUAUACCUUUAGGGUCAAAUUUAGCUCUAUGUUAAGCAAUCGUAAUUGGACUUAUGUAGAAGUCACAACUAUCUGAGGUCGGGAAAUAGAAAUUUAGGUGUUAAUGCAUGUUAGAGAUUUGGUAUAAUGAACCAAACUCCUAAAACAUACCACACACUAAAAGAAAAGAUCAAGAGGGAUGGACCUAUUCAUCCAUACUUGUAUUGGUUCAUCUGACACAAGGUCAUCGAUGAACCAAUUAGCCUUUAGAUAUUAGAGAUUUCAUUGGUCAAUUAAAGGAAUGAGAAAGAAUAGGGAUGAAGAUGAAGGGGGAGAGGAUGUGAGAGAAACACAAAUUGGUCAUGGGAGGAAUUUUAUCAAAUUAAAAUCAUUCGUCCAUUUUGGGAGAUGAAAUAUACAUUUCAUCAAUCCCCUAAAUCCAACGAUUUUAAUCCAACAAAAGUCAAAUCAACCUUGCCCAAGGCCCAAACAAAUAUUCAAACAUCACAAGACCAUAAAAAUGGCUCAACAUAAUUUUUACACAUUUAAUCAAUUAAAAAUCAAAUUAGAAAUGCAUUAAAAUUCAAUUUAAUUUGGUCAAAACCUAAAACCUCUUCAAAACACCAAAUAAAUGAUCAAGAGAUUUAUCCUAGGUCAAACAAGGUCAAAGGACCUUAGACAAAAAAAUUCAUCAUUUUUGAAAAUUCAUAAGUAUUUUUAAAUAAUUAAAAAUAUGCACAAAAACAUUUAAUUCAUGAAAAAUAUCAAAAUUAAUCCAAAAAAUAAUUUUAGUUCAGAAAAUGAAAUAGAAAAAUAUUCAAAGAUUUUUUGGUGAAAGUCCGAUAUUUUUGGGAUUAAAAAUGAAAUUAUUAUGAAUUAAACAAAAUAAAGCAAUUAAACAUAAAUUCAGAAAAUAAAAGGUGACAAAUGUGAUGGCCACACACCCAUGUUCCACCAUUCUCCUUGGUCAAUGAAAUUUACGCGUGGUAAUCAGAAUGAACACUCAAGAUUAAAACAUUUGAAUCAGAACAGAUGGCUUAGGACUUACCAACGCACCACCGGAGCCUUAACUCCGAUCAUCUUCUCUGGUGAUCACCACCAGACUGGUCCAACCUCAACUUCAUAAAAAAUGAAAAAAUUAAGGACACUAUUUCAAAGAGAAAAUACUCAGGAGCUCGAAUUUGGCCUCAACUUUCUCCAAUUCCAAGUAUAUAAAAAGAUACAGGGAUUUGAAUUUUGAGGAUCAUGAACUGAGUUGCUUCGAUUUGACCUCAAACCAACUCAAUCUUGUUGCCUACAUUGGUAGGACUUUAGUCAACCAAAAACCAAUUAAAAUAAUUGAUAAACGAGGGAGAAUUAUAAGAAGAGAAGUUUAUGAAGUUUCACCUUCGAGUCGCUUCUAUUCAGAUUGAUCUUGAUCUGGAUUUGCUUGAUUCCUCCUCCUCUUGCUUGCAGUAAUCAAAUGAAAUGGAAAAGGCAAUGGAUUCUUGGAGUUUGAACUUCAAAAUAAAUUUUUUAAUUCAAACUCGAUUUUCAAAGAAAUCCUCAAGAAAUUCUAUGGUGUGAGGGUCUGAGUUCUCUUGGCAAAGCUUAGGCAAGGUGUUCAUGAUAUUUCUGAGGCCAUGAGCUUGUUUAAAUAAGCAAGGGAAUUGAUUUUUGCACCACUUGAAGUUUUGCCAAAAUUGGAAACAAAGUUCCAUGGAUGCAUGGGCAAUUGUUUGGGCCUAAAUAAUGAUGCAAUCCAUCUCCAAUUCGUGCACAAAGUGUACUGAGGUCAUCACAUGGAAGCAUGCAAAGAAGAAUGAUCAUUUGAAUCCAAAUCUUGCCAAAACAAACCCAACAAAGGAGCCAUGCACAAGUCCCUCAAUUUUGAUCCAAAUGGGUUCAUCUUGGACUUUUUGUAAAGGUAAGAUCAAGGGGAACAACUUUCAUGUAGAACACUUUUCCAUUUCAAGCUUGGAUCAUGAUGAAUUUUGAGGUGGAAGUUUGGAAAAUCACUUCUUCCACCUUGAAUGACUUUUGCUAUGGACUUCAAAUGGAAAAAGUUACUUCAUCAAAGUUUUAUAUAUUGCAAACCUCUUAAAUUUGGUCACAAAUUUUUUACCUCAUUUGGAUUUGGCAUGGAUGGGUUAUUCAUUUUAGAAGGUGAGGAAAAUCACUUGUUCAUUGGUAAUGGCCCGAAAUGACCUAUAAUGUUUCCUUUUGGAACAUGAAUUUUCAAGUUGAAUAUGAACUUCCUUAAAACAUAAAAGUUAGAGAGGACAUAUUGAGUUUGAUUAUGGAACUUGAAUGGAUUUCAUCUCAUAAAAAUUGAGCAAGUUAUGGUCCUUGGAAGUUUACCUCCUAACUAGGGUUUAGACAAAAUGACCUAUAAUCUUUCACCAUAAAAAAUGACUUUCCAAGCAAAAAUAUAUCUUGAAUUAAACAUGAAAGUUGCUUAUAAUGUCAUAAAGAGUAACGUUUAUCUCGGAAUCAUUUUCAUAUGACAAAAAUUGUAGGAGAUAGGGUCUAGGGAGCCCCAGUUUUGACCAGUUGACUUUCUCUGGUCAACCACCAUGAACCAUCUUGCAAACUUGACAUUAUCUUGAUACUUGGUACUCAUGGAGGAUCAUAUAUGUGUAGGAUGAUAUAUAAUUAAGUAUCCCUUUAUAUAAUUGAUCAAAUGUUGAAGAAACUUGUUGAGGAAGUCACACAAGAUACCCAAGUGAAUUAGGGCUUCAAAGGCAAACAAGCUUCAAACUCUUGAUGAAUUCUUGAUCAAAAUGAUAUGUGAAGACCAUGGGGAUCUAUAUAUGUUGUAUAGAGCUAAUGUAAACCAUCUCUUGAUUAGUCUCCUUGCAUUGAGGGUCUUAAACCCUAGGUAUGAGCUUGAUGAGGCAUGGGUGAACACACACACUACCUACAAAAGUAACAAACUAUACAUUGACAUAUUUUUGGCAUUUUGGUUAGUAAAUAAUGAAGAAAAAAUAUGAUACAAUCAAAUGUGCUUGGUGAACUCUCCCAAUACAAACCCAAUGAAUGAGGGGUAAGGAGGAUGCCAAGGUGUAAUCCCAAAGUCAAUGCAUAUGAUGAGAUAUCAUGAGGGAUCUUAGGGCCAAACUUGGGGUCUUACAAUUUUGAAUAGUUUUUAUGCGUGUUUAAUUUUUACCAGCAUGUGCACGUCGAACGAUGGAGGUAUACAAUUCAAUGAAACGUAAUUUAAUUGGUAAAAGGCCAAGGAUCCUUACCCCAAAAGUAAGUAUUCCUUGUGCUGUUUGAUAUUCUUUUAUUUGUGUGUGUUACAUAGUAACUCUAUAAAUAUUAUUUGUAGUCGAGAAGACAAUUCAAUAACUAUUCUUGUGGAUACUAUGUUAUGAAAUAUAUGCAUGAUAUUGUCACCGGAGGCAUUACAAAUGGAUGGAGCAAGCAUAAUGUAUUAUCUUAAUCCAUAUACAUGUAAGUUAUGUAUAUUUCUUAAGUUAAUAUUGUUUUGUUAGCUUACCAUAACUUAAACUUUAUUCUAAUUAUAGGAGUUUAACGAUAAUACACCAUUAUCACAAGAAGAGAUAGAUGAUAUCCGAUCAAUUUAGGUUGGUGUCUUCUUAUCAUCUUUUUAUGAAAUUUAAAAACAAUAGUUUUUAUUUUGUUAUAAGCUGAAUUUGUACAUAUAGAGAUUUUGACAUUUUCAUGUGUUAAUGACAAUAAUGUAAAUUUGUACAUUUGGUUUUGUCACAAUGUAAAUUUGUAAUUCUGUAUAAAAAAGGAAUACUAAUUUUGUUAUCUGUUUUUGAUUUGGUAUUCUAUAACAAUUUAAUAGUUUCUGCAUGUGUACAAAAUGAUACAGGCAUGCUAGUAAAAUGAGAAUGAAAACUAAUUUAUGUUGCAUUAAAAUUGAUUAAGCUCCUCGGUUAAAGUCAAAAAGCGACGUACAAACAUAUCUUAUUAUCUUUGUCAUUUAAUAAAAACGUAAGGUAUGUUGAGCGUGCUAGUUAAUUUUGAAAAUAAAAAUACGAUGUUGAUAGAGAUCAAACUAUUGACCUUUUGCAUUUUAACCUCAGCUUUAUACACAUCGAUGGGUAAAGUUCCCACUUUUCAUGUCACCUUUCGUUACCUCGGCAUUAUAAUUGGGGUGAUAUCGAUUUCGUGUCUGAUAUGACAUAUGUUAUUUGUUAGAUGAUUUAUGAAAAGAUGAAGGCAUCGCAAAGUAGAUAAAACAAUUACCAUGACAAGCAAAGAAAUUCUCUUGAAUUAUGAGAGGGAGACCAUGUGUUCUUGAGAGUAACUUUUGUGACUACUGUUGGUCGUGCGUUGAAGUCUCGAAAGCUUACUUAUCAUUUUAUUGGUCUAUAUCAGAUCCUUAAAUGAGUCAACGAAGUUGCUUAUUGAGUUGCCUUACCACCAUCUCUUUUGAACCUUCAUAGUGUCUUUCAUGUGUCUCAACUUUAGAUGUAUAUUCCUGAUCCGUCCCAUGUGAUCCAAUUGGAUGAUGCACAAAUGAAAGGUAACUUGACUCUUGAGACAUCACCCUUGCGGAUUGAGGACCGAGAAACAAAGCACUUGAGGGAAAGAGAUCGCUUUGGUUAAGGCGGUGUUAAGAGGACUUGCUGGAGGAAGUGUGUCAUGGGAGCUAUAGAGCCUGAUGAGAGAGUCUUAUCCAUACUUGUUUCCGUCAUGUAAUUUUUGAGGGAGAAAAUUCUUUAAGUGGGGGAAACUUGUAACACCUAGGUUUUGAUUAUUUUAUUUUUAAUUUUUGAGGGAGAAAAUUCUUUAAGUGGGGGAAACUUGUAACACCUAGGUUUUGAUUAUUUUAUUUUUAAUUGAGUUUUGGAGUAUUUUUGACUUAUUUAAUUAUUUUAUUUAAGUUAUUGAAUUUUAGUGGAGUGUUAUUAUAUUUAAAUUAAUGUAGAAGUAAGGAAUGGUAGUUUCAUAUUAAACUAGAAUUUAAUUAUAUUCUUAAUAAUUUAAUUAACAUAAAAUAAGGGAAAUUGAGACUUUUGGGAGAAAAAUAGAUUUUUAAUAAAAAAUAAGGAGGUGAGUGGAAUUAGUGAGAGUUGAUGGGAGUUUGGAGAAUGAAUUAAAAUAAAAGGAAAUUAGGUUUUUUAUAUAAGAGAGAAAAGUUGAGGGAGUCGUCAGUACAUAGAAUUCUUAAAAGAGGCUAAGGAGAGAAAGACAUAAGCCUAACUUAGAAGGAGAAUGAGGGAGAUUCCAUUGUCAAAGCUUUAAGCUUAUUAUACGAAUUUGAGGUAGGGGGAGGAGAAACUAUUCAUGAUAUGGGUGUUUAGGCAUGAAGAUAGAGAGGAUCCUUUUUCAUAUUCCUUUUUCUUUUUUUCCCUUUUCCGCCAUUGAUAAGGGUUUUGAAGCUUGAGAAGGUUUGUGCAAAACCUCUAUAGGGCGUUAUCAUAUGAUAUGACUUUCUUGUCGUGUUGGUUGUUUGUUGAUUUCUUGUAAGUUUGUAUGUCUAAUCUUUAGUUUUGAUGUUCUUGAGUAAAGAUGUUAAAUGGAUAAAACAUGUUGAUGUUUUAUGGUAAAGCGAUAAUAUAAAUGUUGAAUCUAUGAUGUUUGACGUGAUAAAAUUAAUAUUAUUUAUGGUUGAUGUUUUACUGUGUGCUUCAUGGAGGCGACGGGGCGUGCGCACGACGAGGUGGUCGCACGGACGCAUGGCUCUACAACGGCACAGACGAUGGGCGUGUCGCAACAGUGGAAAGGACAAAGGGCUCGCGAUGCAUGAGGGAUUGGCGGUGACAAUUUCACGGUCCUGUUCGACGAGUUUCAAGUCAUUUUCGAUUUGUUUUUCGCAUUGCUAGAGUAUUGGUAUGUUUAAAGUCUUCUCAUACCUAAUUUUGACCACGCUCUUUAACUAAGUCUUUAAUGUUUAUCUUGCCAAUGACCCAAGAGUUAAAGGAGGAUCAUUUGGACUUUUUACCUUUGUUUACUUUAGGCUUAUUUUUAGUUCUUUUAAUUCAUUUUGACUUCUAUUUAUUAAAAAAGUUAUUAAGCCUAUUUAUUUUUUAAUUAGGAACACUAAUAUUAAUAAAAAAUUUUGCUAGUCUAUUACUAGGUUAUUAUUAUUAUUAAAGCAUUAUUAUCAUUAGGACUAGUGUAUUUUCGUAUUAGUGGUUAAUCGGGUUGAUUAGACCAUUAUUAUUAUUUUAAGUAUUUAAUAUUAUCAUCAUUAUGAGGUAUUAACAAUAUUUUGUCUCAAAGUUUAUUAGGGGUUGUUAUUUAUGGUAUUAUUAUUGUUAAUAUUAUUUAUUUCUUUUAUUAUACCGAGUCAAACAAGAAUUCAAGUCCAACAAGGAGACCGAAACCCUAAACGCGUGAACCUGGCUGCAAAAGUUGGAUCAAAUUAAAUCCUAAAUCCAACAUCACAAAAAAGAAUAAAAAGGAUGUUUUUCAUUGAUAACAAUUUCGGUUACAAUCUCAAACUUGUAUAGAUCAAAUCAAAUUACAAUAUAACAUUUCCUUAUCUAACAAAUUUAACCUAAAACUAACUAAACCUUAAGUUUAACAAUAAUAUAAAACAAAAUCCUAAAGCUUUUAACAACAAGAUCAUCCAUGAUUUACAGAAAAAACAUAACCUUAAGUUGUUGUACUUUACACUGAAGAACAACAACAAAAAACCCUAGGCAACUCCCAGCCUCUUGAAACCCCGUUCGCCUUCAAACAUCCACAAACCUCGUACCAACACAUAAGGAAAAGAAGAAGUCAGGAGAACAAUUUUUAAAAAAAAAUUAAAUAAUAUGAAGAAAAAGAAGCAGAAAAGAAAAGAGUUACCUUUUUGUACCGGAGAAUAUCUCCUCUUUGUAAGUUGGUGCUUCCUUUAUUAGAACUUGCUCGGAUACCAUGAUAAUUGUUUUGAUUAUUAUGAUCAUUGUGUUCAGUAGGAUAAGGUGCAUGAUUAGGGUUUAUUGGUUAUUAUUUUUUUAUGCAAUGUUCUAUGUAGGGACAAACAUAAGGGAUAUGGGUGAUUUAGGGCUUGAAGUUCAUUUGUUUUGAUUUAGGGGUUUUGGAUAGAGAUUAUUCGGUAUGGUGUUUGGAUAUGUGGUUGGGUCUUGUGUUUGGUUGAAGUUGGAUGGAUUAGGUAUAAACCUGAGUAGGUUAGGGUUUUAGGAUGAAGGUAAAGAGGGUUAGGGUUCAUCCAGGUUAGGGUUAGGUUUCAUGUUUCUAGGCUUGGGUUGAAGGUAAUGUUAGGGUUCAUAGGCUAGGGUUCUUAAUAUGGUUAGGGUUCUUGGACUAUGGAAGGGUUAUGGGUUUGGUGUUCAUCCUAUGAUGAACACCAAUGAAGGUUAGUAGGUGUUUGAUGGUAGGGGAUGGUGGUAAGAAUUAGAGUGGAGUGGUCGUAGUGUUUAGGUGGUGGCCUAAGUGAAGUGUUUAGAGAGAAGAGGGAGAAUGAAGAUAGUAAAGAGAGAGAAAGAAAAUGGAAAAAUGAAGAUUUUUGAAGGAAAAAAUGAAUAUAUAUACUCCCUUCGUCCAUUCACUCACCUUGCGUCACAUGGUGCUCUCUCACCCAAUAGCCAUGUGGUCCUUAUAUAGGGAACCACACCUUAACUCCCAUGUGCGGAUGAAUCUCAAGCGUCUAUCUGUUGCACCUUUCCCUUUGACUUGAUCCCACAGCGAUAUCACAUUGACUAUCCAGUCAAUAAAUCAUAAGGUCUCAGUUGAGAGUUAACUUCUAACUCUUAUGAGUUGGCCCUUUACGCUGGUGUGUCCCAAAUGUAACAGGUUAGCGCCCAUGUCUUUUCACACCCCUAAUAUUGCUUAAAAUCCAAUAUUCUACUGAGGUUGCAACCCCUAUUUUCUAUAUUAUUUCUUUAUUUUCUAUCAUUUUAAUUGUUUAUUUGUAUUUUUAAUUUAUUCAUUUAAGUGUUAAUUUUAGUUUAUUCUUUUUGUUAAUUAAUUAACUUAAUUGUUAGUUUAAUCCUAAUUACAAUAUAUAUCCUUUUAUUUAAAUUAUAACACAAAAUUAUCUAUUUAAUGUUAUUUGUUUAGUUAUAUUUUAAUGAUGAAUAAUGACUUAAAAAAAUGUCACAUUUUAUUUUUUAUUCAACCAAACUAUACUAUUUCUUCUUGUGUAAAUUCAAUUAUAUUUCAUAAAAAUAUUUAUUCUUACCUUCAAAUUAAAAAAAAUAAGCAAAGAUGAAUAAGUAAUAUUUUCUUUUGUAAAUAUGCUUUCACCUUGUACAUAAAUCACCAAAUUAUUUUUCUUAAACAAACUAAAUUAACAUUUUUAAAAAUAAAUGGAUAGGUGGACGCACAUCCACCAUGUCCUUGACUAGUUGAUUGGUCAACGCACGCCGCAUCAGUCGAUUAUUCAAAAACCCAAAACAAUCUAUAAUCAAUCUCAACACAUCAAAUGUCUUUUGUACUCUUGCGCACUUUAUUCAAAAAUCUUUUCAUAAAAACAUAGGUUACGUCUUUUCGAAGCGUAAUACAAACGAGCAUUUAAACCUCCAUCCUGCAAGCGUAAAAGCCAAUUUUUAAAUGCAAGAACAACUUAAAUCCUAUCCUAUAAAAUCAAUUAACUCACACUUAUUUUAUAAGAACUAUGAAGCUCUGAAUUUCUCAUUGCACCUGAGAAUAUGAAGGAACAGGGUUUUAAAACCAUGGUGAGCACAAUAAUAAAAAAAACGUUUCUUUUCUUUUCUUUUUUAAACCAAUUCCUUUUUGUAAAUAAUUUCUUCAUGUAAAUACCUUAAUAAAUAUAUUGAUAAAUAACUAUAAAACAAAACCAAUAUACCAUAAACAAACAAUUAAUCUUAGGACUAUAGGAGGUUCAUGUAGUGGUAAAUUCAUGACCAUUAAGUUAUGAAUAAACUUAACGUCAAUAAAACCAGAGUCGCCACCGCGCUUUUAUUGUUUCUAAGAGAAAAGGGAAAAGUACGAACAAAACCCAAAGAUAAGAAGUUUUCAAAUCAAAACUAAUAAAAUGCCAGAGAUUACAGGUAAGGGGUUUGGUUACACGGAGGGAAGGUGUUAGCACCCAAAGUGUCCUAGGGAGCCCUUUUUUGUGUGCAUAUGUAUUCUUGUACAAAAUGAUGUUUGCAAUAAAUAGAGUGGAGUGGUGAGAAAAGAAUUCAUUAAUUAUAUUGUUGUGUUUGACAAGACCUUCAGACUUGUGCCUACAUACCAACAUAAAAUGAGGGAUCAAAACCUCGUAGUUCGUGGUAAUAAUUUCAAAGUGAAUGCAUUGCCUUUAACAAAAAUUUAAGUUUAACAAAAGAAAAAGAGGCCUAAAAAAGGUUUGAAUCAAUGUUAGUUCUUUUUGGAUUUUGAAAUUUUAAGUCAAGUAUAGUUAAGUUCAUUUGCAAGUUUGUUUCAGAAAAGAGUUUAAAAAUGCAAUGGCAUAAGGCCAAAGUUUCAAAUUUGUAAAAAUGGUCUAAGUUUAGAAAACAAAUACAAGCAAAGAAGAUUUUAAGAGGAGGGAGAGAUUUGAAAUUAAAGAAGUGGGUAGGAGAUGAAAAGACUAAUCCUAAGCACAAAUUUAAAAGUUAAGAGUUGAAAAGAUCUGACCAAUGGGCUGCAAUCCAAUAGACAAGAAUAUCAUACAGAAACCCAAAUUUCCCUUGAACUUUAGAAUCAAGCAAUAUCAAUACACACAUAGCAAGGUGAAGAGCAAGGCAUCAAAUAAAGAUAGCCACAUCCAAUCUUAGCAACUCCAUGAUCUUCUUCAUGAUUCCCAUGUAUCAGAUGACUUCCAAGAUAGGCAUUAGACACAGGUUCAAAAUAAUAUCUUCAAUAGGAUCAUGUCGCAGAUGAACUCAAAUGAAUCUUCAAUAAUUGCAUCAGAUGAAAGUCCACUUCACAAGCACUUGGUUUCAUGAAAGUUGGCAUUGGCCAGGUCCUUUUUCAUAGGAUGUGUUGCCUAAUUCUAAGUCCAAUGUCUCAGAGCAAACCAACAGUCCACACAAAAUGUCUUUUAGGGUUUUUGUUAUUAUUAUGUACAUUAAGGUCAAAAGACCACAAACACAAACAGUAUAUGUAAUCACAAGAUAUGGCUCAAAUGAGCAAAGUGAAAAUGACAUUAAAGUAAACAAGUUAAAUAGUAUGAAUAAUGGCAAAUGAGUAAAAGCUCAAAAUUAAAGUGCAUAAAAGUAAAUGGCUUGAAAUUAAAUAUUAGUUGUUAAUUGAUUAGAAGUUAGUAUUGCUUUUGCUUUUGUUUUGUUUAAGUCAUUCUUUGGAGAACACUCAACCCACUUGUCACAAGCAUGGAUCCUUGAACCAAUACAUCUCUCAAAGGAAGGAAAAAAUGCCAAGUUUCCACACAAUACCAUGAAAGAGGGGAGACUUACAAUCUCACUUACUAGAAUGCUAUGCCUUUUGUGUCAACAAUUUAGCGCUAUGUUAAGCAGUCGUCAUUGGACUUAUGUAGAAGUCACAACUAUUUGAGGUCGGGCAAUAAACUUUUGGUGUUAAUGCAUGUUAGAGACAUGGUAUUAUGAACCAUGCUCCUAAAACAUACCACACUUAAAAAGAAUAUGCAAAAGGGGUGGACCUAAUCUCAUCCUCACUUAUGUUGAUUUUUCAAUCAAUCACCCUUAGGAUAUAGAGAUAUCAUAGGUCCAUGAAAUGAAUGAGAAGAGAAUGGGAUUGAGAUGAAGAGGUAGGGGAAAUGGAAUAAACACAAAUUGGUCAAGGGAAGACUUUUAUCAAAUUAAAAUCAUUCAUUCAUUUUAGGAGAUGAAAUGUAUAUUUCAUCAAUCCCCUAAAUUCAAUGAUUUUAACUCAACAAGGUCAAAUCAACCUUGACUAAGGUCCAACUGUUGGUGUAAGCCCUAGAGGCUAAUACUUUUGGUACUUGUAUCGAAUUAUUUAAGGUUUUUUAUUUAUUAUGGUUGUUUAAUAAAGUCCCUGGAAUAGAUAGUCCGUUUAAUGUAUUAAGUGUGACUUAAUCAUGAGAGCACAUUAAACAUAAGGACACUAUUCUUAAAGUAUCCGUAGUCGAGCUUUAGAGACGAGAAGCUAGGUUUUGUCAGACCACAUGACAUUUUCGUGUCUUGGGUAGCAAAAGUGAUGUGUUGUUUAGAUACCGCUCACUGUUUAUUAUGUUAAAUGCGUGAAUUUAAUAUAUUGCACGUCGCGAAAGAACCUACAGGUUCACACACAAAGGACAAAUGAUGAGAAAUACGAGUAACUAAGGAACACCGUAGGUACGGUGCGCACUUAAGUGGGAGACGAAAUAUGGUAAGGUACCAAAUACUUAAGUGAUUUUGGCAUAUUAUGAGAUAUGGGCCAAAAUACACUUAAGUGUGCUUUUAGCUUGAAGCCCAACAAGUGGUUCUAUAAAUAGAACCCUUGGUAGAAGCAUUGUCACUCCACAGAGAUUCAACUCAAGUGAAGAGUUGGAAUUUCGUUUUUCUCUCUCUCUCUCUCUCUCUCUCUCUCUCUCUCUCUCUCUCUCUCACUCAAGGCCUUCAUUCUUACCAGCUAGCACUGAGAUUGAAGGAUUCGUUCGUGUGGACUGAGUAGAGACGGUGUCAUCGUUCAACGUUCGUGAUCACUCCGUGGAUCUGUAUCAAAGGUUUGAUCGUACAAGAGAUCUGCACCAAAGGUUUGAAUCGCCACAAGAGGUAACGAUUCUAUCACUGAUCAUGCCUUCGUAAGGAUCAUUAAAGGAGAAAUUUUUAAAUUCCGCUGCGCCUUGGAUGGCAAUUCCUUCACCAACAACACAAGUCAAACUCAACAAGUCAAGAUUAGAAGCUCAACACAAUUUAUUUUACAUUUAAACAAUUGAAAUCAAUUAAAAUAUGCAUUAAAUUAAAUUAUGGUUUAUCAAAAUCCUAAAACCUCAUCAAAACACCAAAGAAAUGACCAUGGGAUUUAUCUUAGGUCAAACAAGGUCAAAGGACAUUGGAGAAAAAAUUCAUAAUUUUUGGAAACUUAAAAGUAUUUUUAAACAACUAAAAAUAUUCACAAAAUCAAUUAAAUCAUGAAAAAUAUUAAUAAUGAUCCAAAAUAUAAUUUUAAUUCAGAAAGUGAAAGAGGAAUUUAUUUAAAUUUUUUUGGUGAAACUCUCAUAUUUUUUGGAUCAAUAUUAAAAUUAAUAUGAAUUAAUGAAAUUAAACCAAAUAAAAUGAAAAUCAGAAAAUAAGAAAAAAUGUUGACCACUUGAUCUCCCUCAUUAAUUGAGGUGGCAGAUCAAGUGGCUGCUAGCGCGCAUUCCACCAUAGUCAUGAGUCAACAUGCAACAUAAGUGGUAAUCAGUUUCAACGUGCGAGAUUAGAACAUUUCAAAUGGAUCAUGUGGUUCUGAUGAGUGCCAACGCAAAACCGGAGCCAAAGCUUCAGCCUCCUUCUCUGGUGAGCUUCACCGGACUGGUUCACUCACAACCAUCACCAAAAUUAAAAAUAAGGACAUGAAUUUAAAGUAAAAAUGCUCAGGAGCUCGAGUCUGGCCUCAAUUUAUCCUAACUCCAAGUAUAUUGAAAGAUACAAGGAGUUGAAAUUUGAGGUGCACGAUCUGAGUUGCUUCGAUUUUACCUCAAAGCAACUCAAUCUUGUUGCCUACAUUGGUAGGACUUCAGACAACCAAAGAUCCAAGAUAAUUAUGGAGAAUUGAGUGAGAAUUGAAGAGAUAAAAAAUUCUUGAAAAUACCUUCAAUGCAGGUUUGUGCUUGAUUGAUCUUGCUCUUGCUCUUGAUCUUGCUCAGGACACUUGAGAGAGUAGAAUUGAAUGGACAAAAGGCUCAGGAUCCUUGGAGAUUUGAAUCUCAAAAUAGUUAUAUUCAAACUCAAUUUCCAAUGGAAAUUAUCAAGAUUAUCCUUUGAAAUGAGAGGGUUUGGAGGUUUGGAAUCAAAGUUGGCGCGCAGGGUCUUUGUUUCUGAGCAUAGAGGGCUCUAUUUAUAGCCAAAUGGAUUGAUAUUUACACACUUGAAAUGAAAUCCAAAAAUAGCAAUGUACAUUGCAUGGAUGCAUGGACGUGUAACAGGCCCAUGUAAUCACUUCUUCUGGUCCAUAAUUGAGUACAAGCAUUGUUGAGAUCACAUUGGAAUGUUAGGCAUUGGUGUAUGGAAUGUUCAAGUUCAAUUUGUGCUAAAUGAUCAUUCAUGUUCAAGCCAUGCAUAACCCAUUUAAAUCUUGUCCAAAAUGGAUGAAAUUGGAGUUUUUGGAAAGGUUAGAUCAAGAGGAACAACUUUCAUGUUGAACACUUUUUCAUUUCAAGCUUGGACCAUGAUAUGAAUUUUGAGGUGGAAGUUGGGAAAAUCAAACAUGUCGAAAUUUUUUCUAAGUGUCAAGCCAUAUGUUCACUUAUUCCAUCUUGGCUAACUUUUUAUGGGGGCUUUAAAUGAGAAACGUUCCUUCAUGAAAGUUAUAGAUCUCUCAAAGUAAUUAAAAAUGGUCACAAAUUUGACCUCAUUUGGAUUUAAUAUGAAGGAGAUAUUCAUUUUUGAAGUUGAGGAAAGUCACUUGUUCAAUGGCAUUGGUCCAAGAUGACCUAUAAUGUAUCCUCAUAUCACAUACACAUAAAAGUUGAAUUUGUUCUUCCUCGAAACAUCAAAGUUUAAGUAGACAUCUUGAAUUUUAUUGUGCAACUUGGAAAUAUUUCAUCUCAUAAAAAAUGAGCAAGUUAUGGUCUUGGGAAGUUGACCUCCAACUUAGGGUUUAGACAAAAUGACCUAUAAUCUUUCACCAUAAAAAAUGUCUUUCCAAGCAAAACUAGCUAUAGACUUCAACAUGAAAGUUGUUUGGAAUAUAAUUUAGAGUAACACUUCACUUGGAAUCACUUUCAUAUGACAAAAAGUGUAGGAGAUAGGGUCUAGGGAACCCAGUUUUGAUAAGAUGAAUUCCUCUGGUCAACCACCAUCAACCAACUUGCUAACUUGCAAUUCUCUUGAAUUUUGGGGACUCAUGGGAGAUCAUAUAUGCAUAAGAUGAUGAAUUUUUAAGUAUCCCUUGAAUUAUUUGAUCAAUUGUUGAAGAAGUCACAUAAGAUACCCUGAUGAAUUAGGGUUUCCAAGGCAAACUAUCUCCAAACUCUUGAUGAUUACUUGAUCAAACUAAUAUGUGAAGCUCAUGGGGAUUCAUAUAUGAUGCUUAUAGCCAUAUUAGACCACUUAUUGAUUGACCUCCUUACAUUGAGGGUCUUAAACCCUAGAUAUGAGCUUGAUAGAUCAAAGGUGAGCAUGUGCACUACCUACAAAAGAGUUAGACAAAUGCAAAGACAUAUUUUUGGUAUUUUGGUUAGUAAAAAUGAUAAAAUACAAAGUAUGAUACAAUCAAAAGAUGCUUGGUGAUCUCUCCCAAUGCAAACCCAAUGUAUGAGGGGUAAGGAGGAUGCCAAGUUGUGAUCCCAAUGCCAAUGCAUAUGAUGAGAAAGCAUGAGGUAUCUUAGGGUUAAAAUUGGGGUCUUACAGUUCCUAUUGAGUAUAAUAGAUGUGAGGGGUGAUAAUACCUUCCCCUCGCAUAACCGACUCCCGAACCCAUAUUUGGUUGCGAUAACCAUUUUAUCCUUUUUCUGUUCCCCGAGGUUUUAUCGUUAUUUUCCCUUUCCUUAGUAAUUAAUAAAAUCAGGCGACGACUCUAUUAGUCAUCCAUGAGCAUACCAUGCGCUCACGAGUUCUUAUUUUUUUGAGAUGUGACCGAGUCAAGUUUGAGUUAUUUUAUAUCUUUAUAUUUGAGUUUGAGUUAUUUGAUAUGUUUAUAGUUGAGUUUGAACUAUUUGAUAUGUUCAUAGUUGAAUUUAAGUUAUUUGAUAUGUUUAGUCAACUCAUACUCUUAAUUUACUCAACUCAGACUCAAAUUAAUAUAUUUAGAGUUGAGUCUGAAAUGUUUAGAGUUGAUUUUGAUGAGAAAAUUAAAUGAUUUGAAUUAAAGUUGUAGACCUUAAAGUACAUGUUGUUUACCCUUAACCUUGAAUAUAAAUUGUUAGAGUUAAUUGUGAAUUAUGUUGAUGUUAUGAACAUGCCUUGUUUAAUAUUAAUGGUUGUUUUAUGUUAUUUUGAUGUUGUUAAUGAGGUUGAUGUUUAGGUUUAAAAGAAACCAGUGUUAUAGUACUCCGGUAUAGUGUUGUAGGUGUAAGACCCCAAUUUUUACCCUAAGAUCCCUCAUGCAUUCCCAUCAUCAGCAUAAGCAUUGGGAUCACAUCUUGGCAUCCUCCUUACCCCUUUUCAUUGGGUUUGUUUUGGAAGAGAUCACCAAGCAUAUUUGUGAUUAUAUCAUACUUGUAUAUUAUCAUUUUACUAACUAAAAUACCAAAAAUAUAUCUUUGUAUCUAUCUAACUCUUUUGUAGGUAGGGCAUGAUCUCAUUGAUUCAUUGAUCACAUCUAGGGUUUAAGACCCUCAUGAACAAAGUUCACAACCAAGAAUUGAUUUAAGAAUGGUUAUGAACAUCAUAUAUGAGUCCCAAUUUCUAUUACAUGUUAUAUUGAUCAAGUUUUCUUCAAGAGUUUGAGGGUGAUUUGCCUUGGAAACCCUAGUUUGACUAGGUAUCUUGAGUAACUUCUCCAACAAGCUAUCUCACCAAUUGAUCAAAUUUCUCAAGGGACACUUAAAAAUUCAUCUCUUAUGCAUAUAUUAUUACCAUGACCCAAGAAAGUCAAGUGAAUUGGAAGUUAGCAAGUUGGUUGAUGGUGGUUGGCCAGAUGAAUUCAUCUGAUCAAAACUGGGUCCCUAGACCCUAUAUCCUACAAUUUCACCUAUGAACAUGAUUCCAAGAUAAAACUUACUCUAAAUGCAUUAUAAACAACUUUCAUGUUGAGACCUAGAGCUAGUUUUGCUUGGAAAAUCAUUCUAUGUUGAAACAUUAUAGGUCAUUUUGUCUAAACCCUAAUUUGAAAGUCAACUUCCAAGGCAUAACUUGCUCAAUUUUAUUGAGAUGAAAUAUUUCCAAGUUUAAAAUAGAAUUCAAUGUGUAUACUUAAACUUUGAUGUUUGGAGUGGGAGCUAAUUCAACUUUUUUGAGCAUGUGAUAUGAGGGCUCAUUAUAGGUCACUUUUGACCUAUACCAUUGAUCAAGUGAUUUUUCCAAACUUCAAAAAUGCAUAACUCUAUCAUUUAAAAUCCAAAUGACAUGAAAUUGGUGACCAUUUUGAAGGUAUUUGAUAGAUAUACAACUUUCAUUAACACAAUUUUCUCAUUUGAAGCUCCCACAAAAAGUUAAGCAAGGUGGAAUAUUGAGACAUAUGGCUUGACACUUAGAAAAAUUUUGAUAUGUCAAAUUUUUCCAAAAUUCCACCUCAAAUUUCUCCAAGUUCCAAACUCCAAAUGAAAAAGUGUUCAACAUCAAAAUUGUUCCUCUUGAUCUCACCUUUCCAAAGAGCUCAAAUUCGUUCAUUCUGGACUUGAAAUGCAUAGGCUGCGCAUGGCUUAAACAUGCUGAUAUCAUUUGGCAUUGAUCCAACUUCAAGCAACAAUGCACAUGUGCCUUGCAAUCCAAUCAAUCUUGAAAGGAUCUGAACUUCAAAUUUGGAGUUUCAGCUAUCAUUCCAUGGGCUUAUGCGCACCCAUGCAUCAUUCCAUCAUCAUUUUGCCAAUUUUGGAAAGUGGAAGUGAGUGUGCAAAUAUCACAUGAUUUGGCUAUAAAUACAACUCCAUUUGCUCAGAAAUAAGACACAUUGCGCCAACUUUGAAUCUCCAUUGAAAACCCUUCACUCUCAUAGGAUAACCCUGAUAAAUUCAUUUGAAUUUGAGCUUGAAUCUCCAUUGUUUUGUAAUUCAAUUCUCCAGGAGUCCAUUGCUUCUAAACCUUUCCAUCCCUCUCCUGCAAGCAAUUGAAGUGAAGCCAAGCACAAUUCAGAUCAAGAUCCAUCGUGUUCAGACCUCCAUUGAAAGUAAUUUGCAGAAAUUUUAAAGUCUUCGAUUUUCUUAAAUUGUUGCUCAAUUCCAUUGAUUCUUUGGUUGUCUGAAGUCCUACCAAUGUAGGCAAGAAGAUUGAGUUGCUUUGAGGCUAAAUCGAAGCAACUCAGUUCAUGUACCUCAUUUCAAUUCCAUACAUCUCUUAAUAUAUUUGGAAUUGGAGGAAUUGGAGGUUAGAUUUGAGCUCAACGCCAUUUUCUCUUUAAGAUCAUGUCCCUGUUUCUUUUUUUGGUGAUGGUUCAUGAUGACCAGUCCGGUGAAGCUCACCGGAGAAAACAACCGGAGCUAUGGCUCCGGUGAUGAUGUGUCUUGUAUCUGAACCACUUGAUCCAAGUCUCAUGUUCUAAUUUGGAUCGUUCCUUGUGAUUACUCCUUUUGCCACACGGUUGACUCAGGUGUAUGUGGAGCGCGCAUUUUGGAUCAUCAGAUCUGUCACCUCAAUUAAUGAGGGAGAUCUGAUGGUCCACGUAAUUUAGCAUUUUUGAAUUUUAUUUUUAUUCCCUUUUCUUCAAUAAUUCAUAUUAAAUUUAAUAUUGAUCCAAAAAAUAUGGGACUUUCACCAAAAAUCUUCAAAUAUUUUUCUCUUUCAUAUUCUGAAUUAAAAUUAUUUUUUGGAUCUGUAGCGGGAAAUUCAUGAUCAUCAAGCUAUUAAUAAGCUAGAGAUCAAUUAACAAGAGUCGUCACCGCGCUUUUAUUGUUUCCAAGGGAAAAGGGAAAAGUACGAACAAAACCCAAAUAGUAAGAAGUUUUCAAAUAAAAACUAAUAAAAGUCAGAGAUCACAGGUAAGGGGGUUGGUUACACAGAGGGAUUUUCAAAUAAAAACUAAUAAAAGUCAGAGAUCACAGGUAAGGGGGUUGGUUACACAGAGGGAAGGUGUUAACACCCAAAGUGUCCUAGGUACUCCUAGGGAGCCCUUUUUGUGUGCAUAUGUAUUUGGUACAAAGUGAUGUUUACAAACAAAUAGAAUGGGGGAAUGAAGAAAGAAUUCAUUAAUUAUAUUUUUGUGUUUGACAAGACCUUCGGUCUUGUGCCUACGUACCAACAUAUAAAUGAGGGAUCAAAACCUCGUAGUUCGUGCUAUAAAUUGCAAAAUGAGUGUGUCGGUUUUAACCAAAUUUAAGUUUGAAAAGGCACAAAGGCCUAAAAUGACUUGAAUGAGGUAGUUCUUUUUGGAUUUUUGAAAUUUUAAGUCAAGUAUAGUUAAGUUUAUUUACAAGUUUGAUUUAAGAAAAUAAGUUUGAAAAUGCAAUGGCAUAAGGCCAAAGUUUCUACCUUUUGCAAAAGUGGUCAACGUUUAGAAUAAAAAGUAGUUCACACAAAGAAGGUUUUAAAAAUGGAGGGAGAGAUUUUGAAAUUAAAUAAAUGGGGAGAAGAUGAAGAGACUAUCCUAUGUACAAGAAUUUAAAAGUUUAAAGUUGAAAAGAUCUGAUCAAAUGGGAGCAAUCCAAUAGACAAAUAUGUCAAUAGAAACCCAGAAUCCCCUUGGACUUUUUUAGGAUCAAGUAACACACAAGUGCACAAUUAUAUCAAUCUUGAAGAGCAAAGGCAUCAAAUAAAGAUGGCCUCAUCCAAGCUUAUCCACUUCAAAGAUCUUCCUCAAAAUAGCCCAUGCAACAGAUGAAUUCCAUAAUUCACAGGUUCAACAUAACAACUUAUCAAUGAUCAAUGUUGUAGAUGAAUCUGGAGAGAUCUAGAAUGAUGCAUCAGAUGAAUUCAAAUUGUAAUCACUUGGUUCUUCAACAAAUUGGCAUUGACCAAGUCCAUUAGCAAAGGAAUGUUGCCUAAGUUCUAAGUCCAAUUGGGCAAGAUCAAACCAACAGUCCAUUCAAAUGUCUUUUAGGGUUUUUGUUAUUAUUAUGUACAUUAAUGGUCAAAGACCAAACAGACAAGAAAACAAAAUAAUAUCAUAAUAUGGUCCAAGUGGACAAAGUGAAAAUUACAUUAACAUAAACAAUUAGAAUGAUAUGUAUAAUGGCAAAUGAUAAUAGAAUACUAAAAGUAAAUUUCAUUAAAGUAAAGACUUGAAAGUAAAAGUUAAUGGUUAGUAAGUUAAUUGUUAGUUCUGUUUUGCUUUUGAUUUCAAGACAUUCUUUGGAGAACACUAUACCCACUUGCCACAAGCAUGGAUCCUUGAACCAAAACAUCUUCCAAAGGAAGGAAAGAAGGCCAAGUUUCCACACAAUACCAUGGAAGAUGGGAGACUGACAAUCUCACUAACUAGAAUGCUUAUGCCUUUUAUGUCAUAAAUUUAGCGCCAUGUUAAGCAAUUGUAUUUGGACUUAUGUAGAAGUCACAACUAUUUGAGGCCAGGAAAUAAACUUUUGGUGUUAAUGCAUGUUGGAUACAUAGUAUUAAGAACUAUGCUCAUUAAACAUACCACACACAAAAAAUAUGCAAAGAUGUGGCCUAAUCUCAUCCAUACUCAUGUUAAUCUUCCAAUCAACUAGCAUUAGGACUUUGAGAUGUCAUUGGCCAAUUGAAAAUGAAUGGAUGAAGAAGGGGAAUUAGAUGAAGAGAAGAGUGGAUGAAUGAGAUCACAAAUUGGUCAAAGGAGGACUUUUACCAAAUUAAUAUUAUUCAUUCAUUUUGGGAGAUGGAAUGUACAUUACAUCAGUCCCCUAAAUCCAAUAAUAUUAAUUUGACAAAGUCAAAUCAACCUUGACCAGGGCCCAACAACAAAUGAGAAACUCAAUUAAGUCAAUACAAAUGGUCAACACAAUUAAAAUGACAUUUAUUCAAUUAAAAAUAGUAAAAUAAUGCAUUAAAUUUAAAUAUGUUUUGUCCAAAUUCUAAAAUCUCAUCAAAACACAAGAAACUCAAUUAAGUCAAUACAAAUGGUCAACACAAUUAAAAUGACAUUUAUUCAAUUAAAAAUAGUAAAAUAAUGCAUUAAAUUUAAAUAUGUUUUGUCCAAAUUCUAAAAUCUCAUCAAAACACCAAAUAAAUGGCCAUGAGAUUUAUCAUAGGUCAAACAAGGUCAAAGGACCUUGGAGAAAAAAAUUCAUAAUUUUUGGACACUUAGAAAUAUUUUUAAAUAAUUAAAAACAAAUGAAAAAUCCAUUAAUUCAUGAAAAAUAUUAAUAAUGAUCCAAAAAAUGAUUUUAAUUCAGAAUAUGAAAGGGUAAAAUAUUUGAUUUUUUUUGGUGGAAGUCCCAUUUUUUUUGGAUUAAUAUUAAAUUUAUUAUGAAUUAUUGAAGAAAAUGGAAUUAAACUAAAAAUCAGAAAAUUCAAAAAUACGUGGACCAUCAGAUCUCCCUCAUUAAUUGAGGUGGCAGAUCUGAUGAUCUAAAAUGCGCGUUCCACCAAUGCCUCGGUCAACAACGUUGUAACAUGAGUAAUCACAAGGAACGGCUAUGAUUAAAACGUGGAGCAUGGAUCACACGGUUCAGACUCAAGACACGUCAUCACCGGAGCCAGAGCUCCGAUUGUCUUCUCCGGUGAGCUUCACCGGACUGGUCAACAUGAACCAUCACCAAAAUACAAAACAGGGACAUAAUUUUAAAGAGAAAACAUCAUUGAGCACGAAUAUCACCUCCAAUUCAUCCAAUUCCAACUAUAUUGAGAGAUAUGUGGAAUUGAAAAUCACUCGGACCUAUCUUGACUUGAAGGUCCACUUCUCGAAUGACAGUCUUGCGCGAGCCAUUGAAGGCUUUGACAAUUACCCCACUAUGCCUCAUGGGAGCUCCUUGGUACGAUAACUUUGACAAAAUGUUGACUUCAGAAGCACAUUAAGUGAUGAACUGGUGUCAACUAGCACAUUUGACAAAGCAUCUUCCUUGCAAUUCAUUGAAAUAUGCAAAGCCAUAUUGUGAUUUCUUCCCUCCUUAGGGAGUUCUUCAUCGCAAAAGCUCAAAUUAUUUCAUGAAGUGAUGUUAGCCACAAUAUGAUAAAAUUGAUCCACAGUAACAUCUUGCUCCAUGUAUGCCUGUUCAAGAACUCUCUGGAGUGCUUCCCUGUGCGCUUCAAAAUUUAAAAGCAGAGACAACACGAAAAUGUUAGAGGGAGUUUGGAGCAAAUGCUCAACCACGUUGAAUUCACUCCUCUUGAUCAGUCGGAGUACCUCAUCAUCAUCACUAAUGGCUUUCAAAUUGUUGGAUUCACCAGACUUAUCUCUUGAACAACCAACAGGAUCUACACUAGGAACCUCCGCCUUCUUGCCAACAAUCAAUUCUUCUUUGUUCUCUGGGACAACUGUGUCAUACCCCAAUUUUGUCCGGGCAUAUUUAAAUUUUCGUAGAAUUAAUUUCAUUUUUAAUUUAGCAUCAUAUGCAUAGCAUGACAUACAUUUGCAUCAUGAAUAAUACCUAAGAUGUCAGUCAAAAUGAAUUUAUUGAAAAUACAGACCAAUCAGUUGAAUCAUUUCUAAGCAUCAUAUGCAUAGCAUGACAUACAUUUGCAUCAUGAAUAAUACCUAAGAUGUCAGUCAAAAUGAAUUUAUUGAAAAUACAGACCAAUCAGUUGAAUCAUUUCUCAAGAACAGGCAGAAUCAACAAUGACUGUUUCGGUUAUAUCUCGACCCGCAUGAGCCUUUUAAUUGGUGCAAAACUAUUUCGGAAUUUGAAGAAAAACUGUAUUUUUUUAAUAAGUAUUUUUUGUCCUGACAAUUUUAGUGUGACCGGUUCAUUUUUUUCGAACAAAUUUGUACUCGAUUUCUAUUUUUAAGGGGUCAAUAUUUUUGGUUAAAUAUUUAAUUAAAAUAAUUAGAAUGUGUUUGAAUUAAAUAUUAGUUAGUCUUUUUAUGAUUUGUUAUUUAAGUAAAUAAUAAUUAUGAAAAAAUAUUUUUGCAUUGGAUUCCCUUAUCACAUAAAAAAAACAAUAGCAAAAAGAAAAAUAAAAAAUAAUAGAAACUCUAAUGUCUCUCUUCCACCUGUCACUCACUAUCUCUCUCCACUCCCAACAAACUCUACAUGCGUCUCACACUCACCUCCUCACGAAAAUCUCUGAAAAUCCCUCAUAUACCUCGCUCCCUCACACCAACAGAGGAACACACACACUCAGAAAAACUGAUUCUCUCCCUCACAAAUCACUCUGCAAAAAUCUCACGAAACGCUCACACUUAUCCCAUCUUCUCCGCCUCCAUCACAAAACCCUCCAUCUUCCUUCCACUUGCACCAACAAAACCCUCCGCCUCACCAUCGGUCCUCCGCUCAAACUCCGACAACCUCACAAACCCGCCGUCACCCAUCAACAACCGUCCAACCUCAACCUUUCGUCCCCUUCAUCUAACCGUCGCCGACCGCCGUCACCCAUCAACAACCGUCCAACCUCAACCUUUCGUCCCCUUCAUCUAACCGUCGCCGUUCACCCCAUAAACAACUCUCACCAUAAACCCUCAAACCACCAUCUACCACACCAACAAACGCAAUCCAUCUUCGACCUCCUCAAACCCUCCACUGCUUAAAAUCGGACCACCAUUAAAACCCUCAUCUCACCAUCGAAAUCGCCCUUCCGUCACCACCAUCCGAAAACCUAUCACCCUCGCGUCUCACCGCUACCCAAUAAACCCACUUUUCUUAAACAACCAACACCGCCACCAUCAAAAUCCCUUCGUCAUGACGUUUCCAACAAAACGUCCAACCCUUCAAAACCCAAACGAUACUUACAACGGAUUGACAUUACAAGGAUGAUUUAUCCAGCAACGAUUACACUCGUGGCCUCGGUUUUGGUUGCAAGUUAUAUAUCCACUUCUGGACUUUGUAAAUAGAGAGGAGUUUCGACUUUCACAGUUGUUCCCCUUUCGUUGGCUCGUGAAAGUGGUUUUAGGAGGUAACGUUUGGUCAUUUGGAUGCGGUUCUGGCUCGGAUUCUCAGGCACACUCGCGCACUACUCACCUAGCCAUUCGCCGAAGUCCUCAACGGUAUAAUGCAAGACAUCAUCUCGCAAUAUAAUCCAACAGCUAUCAGUAAUUAAGUUCAUUGGCAUUUUGCCCCUUUUGAUUUUGGUUGGGUUUCUUUCUAUUUUUUCAACUGUGUUUAAUUAUCAUUUGACAUGGUGAUUGUCGCUUCCAGUUUGUUUUUGGGUGCAUUAGUAUUUUUUAUGUUGACUAUUUUGAAAGAGUAUGUGUUUUAUUUUCUGUCAUAAAUUGUUAGCUAGCAUAUCGUGUUAGAGUUAUGUGAUUUUUUUUUGAACUUCCGGAUUAGAUUUCCGUGUCCGUUUAAUUGCUUCUAUUAUAUCUCAUAUGAGCAUUAUGUUGGACUUAUUAUGCGGAAACUUGUUUGGUAUAUAGAGCUUAUCGGAUAAUUAGGAUUGUUUAGAGUUUUAAGGUACUAUAACGAUUCAUGUUCUGUUAGAGAUUCAUCAUAAGCUGCUAGGAGUUUCAUUCAAAUAGUUUGAACUAAACAUGUCUUUGAAGAAUUCAGAAUAUUUGGUUAUUACGUAUGAAGUUACCACUGAUUUUUAGCAUAAUGGGAUGUAAAUGAGGUGUGUGUUCGGCCCCAGCUCAUUGUUGAUUUAGAUUUCUAUUACCUCUUUAGUACUUUUUCUGUUAAUUCUAUUAUGUAUGAUGUAAAUAUUACUCGAUUUAUUGCAGUAUUACGUUUAAUCAGAUUUAUUUCACCGGAUUCGACUUUCAUGUCGUUAUGCCACACAUGUUCAUAAAGUAAUUAAUAUUUCACCGUUGUUUUCUUUUCACAUACGACGUUUCGAUGUUCGAUAGUGUUAAACGGUUGCCGAGGACAAUCUCCUAACAUUACCGAUUAAAUUCAAUUCAUUAUCUUUUUUCUUUCUUUGGAUGUAAUUAAUUUGAUCAAAACUUUUUGUUAGUUUAAUUGCGAUUAAUCAUUUUAAUUAACUUAAUUAUUUAAUUUAAUUAGAAUAUUUUAAUUAUUUUUAAUUUAUUCAAUUAACAAAUUUAACAGUUUUCAAUAAAUUAAUUUUGCUAAAAAAGAAAUGGAUCAAUUUUUCCACUCUCACAAACUCCACAUUAUUUCAAACAAAAGUAUUAUUUCAUUGUCAUAUCACUUUUAUAAAUCAUUUUCAAAUUUUAUGUAAUACUAAUCAUCACACACAACCAAUUUCAAAAGCCAACAACAAUUUCGGUCGUCACAUCGAGCCCACUUUAAAUACCCUUGUAAGUCAAUUCUCUUUCGCAUCGCCAUCAACCUUACUAUAGCUUACUUCUAUUGCGGCUUCCUACAAUGAACAUAGCUUGGUUAUUGGUAAUUCGCGUAGGGAUGAAUAAUCACUAAGUGAACUCAUUUCCUGAUAAGCACAAUUCAAGAUCAUUUUUCGAACGCAUUCAAUUUCAAAGGAGUUUCUCUUAACAGCAGAACUUGGAGAUGAAAAGGGAGAUAGGAAGCGUCGCUUUCUACUAUUUCUCAAGCCACUUGAAGCAAUUGUGCGGUACGCAAUAGCGUCGCGUUCUGUUUCCGAUUAACUUUUAAUCAUAAUCUCAAAUUUCAAAAUUCAUUUCAUAUAACACAAAUAUCACAAUCAUUCUCAAACCAUAUUAACUUUUUAACAAGGAUUUUCAAAUCAUUCUAAAACUUCAACCAUCACUUCAAUCCAUUUUUAAUAAUAACUAGUGCAAUUCUACACCAUUCAAUUCUCAAGUUUUGAUAAUAAAAGGAUAGUGAGGGUACGCCUCAUAUCUGUUCGUAUAUUCGAAUAAUGUGCGUAACUGCCACAUUGCUCGGAUCUUCCGUCAUCUAAUCCAAACCACAACUUCGAAUAAACUCAAAUAAUCUUUUCUAUAUCAAAACAAUUUAUACAAUAAAUAAACUAUCAAAACUUUAUAUAGAGUAAUGGGAGGGUCGCCUCGACCAAUUCUUGAUUUUUGGAAUAAUUGGCGUACGCCCACAUUGGCUCAAGAUAUUUCGAUCAAACCCUACCAUAUUCAAAAAUUCAACUAUUUUACGCAAAUCCACAUAACGCAUCUAACAUAUCUUUAACAAUGUUAAACCUGGUUGAAUAAAGGAUGGAAGGGCGUUACGCCUCACCAAUCUCGUUCCAUUAUUUGAAUAAUUGCGUACGCUUAUUGAGCGAUCCACACUAAAUAUUCACGGACUAAGUAAGACAUAAUGAUUAAAGAUAGGUGUGCGCACGCCUCAUUCUUCUCUCUGAAUAAGCAUAGUAGGAGGGCGCUAACGCCUCACUCACCGAUGCAUAUUCAACAUCCGCGAAACAACUUUCGACAAAUAAUUUGAAUGAAAAAAGGAGUAGAGAGGCGGUCGGCUUUUACUCUUCGAAAGAAUUGGACGAUGGUGUACCCCAUUGCUCAUCUUUCGUUGUUUUUUUCAAAAACAUCUCAGAAAAAUCAAUAACUUCUCGCCCGCGGGAUCGAGACCUAUCAACCCAAACACUAAAAUCAACUCGUCACCCCGCGUGACCAAAACACUUUCAAAAGACACUCACGUCCUUUCUAAUGCGCACAACAAACCCAGUGCUAGAGCUCCACCGAGUAGACAAGCCAGCGUUAAGCCGUUAGAAUACGAACCGAGUCCUACACCAUCGUUAUCAAGAACAACAACACACCAAGAUAUUCGUAGUAAGCCCGAACUCACGACUAUGCGUUCCUGAUGUUCUCUCUAUUGCGACGAAUAGUGUAUGUACGCAGUGUGAGAUUGCUGUAUCUUCGCGAGCACACUAAUAAAAAACCUCCCAUUUCCCCCUCCUGAGGUCUUCAUCCAUAUCUAUCAACAAUUCUUAUCACUCGAAGCAAGCAAAUAACAGUCAAAUGGCAAAAUCAGACUAAGAGGUUCCCAUUGAGUAUAACGGACGUGAGGGGUGCUAAUACCUUCCCCUUGCGUAAUCGACUCCCGAACCCGAAUAUGGUUGCGACGAUCAUCAUUCUUAUUUCUAAAGGUUUUUUUGAUAUUUUCCUAUUCCUUCAUUGGAAUAAAUAAAGUUCGGUGGCGACUCUGUUUCGAACAAACAUUUUUUCCGCGUCCUAUCGCGAGGGAUCGCAUUAUCAUCAUUUUUGAGGUGCGAGAGACUGACGACUCUGCUGGGGACUACCAUUUUUCCGCGUCCUGUCGCGAGGGAUCGCAUUUUUGAGGUGCGACAGACUGGCGACUCUGCUGGGGAAUCACUACUCCAAGCAAGAGAGAGUCUAGCCUAACUUAGUUUGAUUUUUCUAUGACUGUUGGAAGAUAUUCUUUUCUUCCAUGUUUAUUUCUCUGUAUUUUAUUCUGAUUGCUUGUGUUGUAUGUAUUUAUCUUGAUACUUUGAUAUGGGGCUUGAUGUAUGUUGUGAGAUAAGCUCCAUACCCGAGCUUCGAGAAAAAACUUAGAACCCGGAGUUGUGUAGUAUUGAACCGGGGGGUGUACACCUCAUUGGGAUAAUACGAAGACUCCACCUAUAGUAGAUCUGUUUGGAGUUUCCAUCACAAUAUGGCUAGCCCAUCAUUGUGGGGGAGGUUCUAAACACGAUCCACGACUCUAGGGACCUCGCCUUAAACCUAAGUUUUGUUUUCAUGAUUGGUGAUUAUGUAGUAUUGAACCGAAGGGUCUACACCCUUGUCAUACCCUAAAUUUUACCCUGAGUUUUUCACUUGCAUCAGCAUAGCAUAAAUCGAUCCAUUUUGUUGUGCAUUUUUAUCAGUUAAAAAAAACAUUCAUUAGUGUUCUAAUAAAAAGUCAGGAGCUCUGGCAUUUUAUUGGUCUUGAUGACAGUCAUUCAGUUAUCUAUUGAUUGAAGACUUAAUUUCUAAGUCUUGAUGCAUCAUUUAUUUCCAUUACAUCAUGUUUGAGAGGUUCAGAGGGUGACAGUCAAGAGUAUUGUCAUCAUCUGAAUCUUUGUAGGUUUUAAUUGUGAUGGAGAAUCAUUGAGAGGUUCAGAGGGUGACAGUCAAGAGUAUUGUCAUCAUCUGAAUCUUUGUAGGUUUUAAUUGUGAUGGAGAAUCAUAAGUAAAUGGUCCAAGGGUGAUUCAAUUACAUUUGAUUGUCUGUUCACGGUUAUUCAGUCAACAAUUCAGUUCAUUUAUAAGACGUUUGUAUUUUCUACUUGUCAUAACAUGCAUUUUUGUUUCACAUAGUGCUUGAAAUAUAUUUGAAAUAAUUUUUUCGAAUUUACAGACAGAUCGGUCGAAUCAUUUCUCAAAUGUACGUCGAAUUAACGGACGAAAAAUUUCAAAAUUGAGUUUUCAGAUGUCAGUUUUCUUAAUCUACAGUUCACUUAGUUUAACCUAGUGUGCUCAUUUCAAUUUUCCGACUACUUUUUCAGUCGCAUUCUGAUUAACCUGAGGCUUUUAACCGGUCGAUUUUUAUUUCCAAAUUUGAUUGAAACCUGUAUGUUUUCGAAAAGUUUAUUUCACGCUGAUAAUAUUGGUGCAUUCAGUUUAUCUUUUCGGACACUUUUACGUCUGAGUUUUAUUUAUUUUUAUCCAAUUACUUUUAUUUUUUAGUCAAUUUAAUUAGUAGGACUAAUUAGAAUUAAUUAUGUUUUAAGUAUAAAUUUAAUUUUGUUCUAUUAAUCUUGUUUUGAUUUUUAGAAUUUUGGUUUUUUAUGUUAAAAUUUAAUUUUAAAUAUCAAAUUUUUAACAAGGAAAUAAAAAAAAUAUAAUAAAAAAGAAUUGAAGGAAAAAGUGUGGGAAAGUUCCCCCCAUUUUUUGGCUGAUAGCACGUGACCCUUCUCUUUGUCUUGCUGGCGCAAGAAAAAAUUCAUUUCCUCACCAAUUAACUAGUGCCACGUGUCCAUGAUGACAAAAUAGAAAAAAUGAUUUUUGCUAUAAAGACUAGCCAAACGCGUCACACAAGGGAGACCACACACUUCCUCUCUUAUCUCCACCUAAAACUUCAAACUUCAAACCGCCACUAAAUCUCUGCCUUGUAACUUCUCCACCAUCCAACACCCUUCUCUGUCGUCCAUCAUACUCCCUUCGAUCCGACCUUCACCUUCGGAAAAAAAAAACUCAACUUUUCCCUUCUCCGAUCUACGACACCGCCAACCAUCAUAAACACAUCACAUACAACCUUUCCACCCUUUGAUCCAUUUUCCAAUCGCGUUUUUGAUCCAAUACCACCCUUCACUCACCGGUAACCACCGCGACAUAUCAUCCUUUGCUCUUCUCAAGAUACUCGAACGCGGCUUUAACGAUUUGGAGAAAUCAGGAGCAUUCCAUAUUCCACUUUCGGUGGUCUGAGAAUAACAUUUAUGCACAACAUCAAGUUUUCCGGAUACCCGUGAAUAAGAAAUUCCACAAUAAAAUAAUUCUGCACAGCAACAACUUUCGGUUUUGGGUCGCGUCUUUUCUUCUUACUCGAUUUCAAUGUUGUUGGAUUGUGAUUAAUUUGUUUUUGUAUCUUGAUUCUUUUUCUUUACUAUUUGUUCUGUUUAUAGCAUUUCGUCCUAUUCGUUUAGUGUUUGGUAUGCUUGGCUUUUAUGGUUCUGUUAUGGAUAAGUUGGAUUUCAUGAUAAUCACUUUUAACAGUUUUAAUCGGGUAUUAUAAUACGUAGUUGCUGCUACUGAUUCUAUUUGGUUGAGAUGUAUUAGGUAAGAUCGGACAUUUAUCCGUGAUUUCGACAUUGAUAAUAUGUUGUUAUGACCACCAAUUUCUAUUUUGAUAUCUAUUUUGAUAUGUCAACUUAAUUUUCUACAGCUUCUUUUGUAUGUUAUGGUAUGAUAUUCUAUUUCGAUGAAUGCUAAAGAAGUUGUUGCUGUCAUGAUUCGAGUUGCUGAAUUGCCGUAGAUGUUUGUUGGAAAUAAUAGGUAAUGAGUUCUUUCUAUUUGUACAGACCCUUUAAACUUGAUGUUGUUAACUUUUACUUAAGUUGUUUCUCGUUGUUCUGGAGCUAGCUUGAGUUGAAGUCUUGUUAACUUUUACUUAAGUGAUUUCUCAUUUGUUCCCAGCAUAACAUGUGCUAGUGAGUUCUUUUUUUUAAUUAUUUAUUUUUUUAAUUUGUGUUAUCAUGCUAUUUUAUCUGAGGUUGUCCAUUUCAUGUUAAAUUAUUUCAAAAUUGAAUUGCAUCUUAUGGUUACAAGUUGUUAAAUAUGUAAGACUUGGUGGAACAUGUUGCUUGGUUGCCUUAACAUCUAGUAUUGCAUAAUUUUCCCCCCAACCAUUUUAUGCUUCAUCAUUAUCGUCACUACCUAUUUCUAUCACCAAGAGGAUACUUGGACAUGUCUCUAAUGACAUUGUCAUUUUUAAAGUUGUUUGCUCUAUUUUCUACUUUGUUUCUAGGUUGGACUUGGAUGGAUGGACUGAUAUUGGAAUUAAUAUCCAAUUUUUAUUUGUUUAAAUUCUAUUUUUUUAAUAUUAUAUACUCACUUUUAUCAAUAAUGGUUAUGUUAUAAAUUUUAGUAAAAGGAAACAAGAGAGUCACGUGGUAAGAGUGGGGGACGACUCCCUUUUAUUGCCAUUUUUUUGUUACUUUUAUUUAUUAUUAUUAUUAUUAUUAUUUAUUUUAUUUAUUCUGUUAAUAAAUGGUUUUAUUAUUAUUAUUAUUAUUUAUUUUAUUUAUUCUGUUCAUUUAAUAUUCACACUCCAUUUUCC